rnacentral:rRNA from 1 species
AGGGUCUUCGGAUUGUAACCCCUUUCAGGAGGGCGAAGCGCAAGUGACGGUACCUGCAGAAGAAGCACCGGCUAACUACGUGCCAGCAGCCGCGGUAAUACGUAGGGUGCGAGCGUUGUCCGGAAUUACUGGGCGUAAAGAGCUCGUAGGCGGUUUGUCACGUCGUCUGUGAAAUCCCUCGGCUUAACCGGGGGCGUGCAGGCCAUACGGGCAGACUUGAGUACUACAGGGGAGACUGGAAUUCCUGGUGUAGCGGUGAAAUGCGCAGAUAUCAGGAGGAACACCGGUAGCGAAGGCGGGUCUCUGGGUAGUAACUGACGCUGAGGAGCGAAAGCAUGGGUAGCGAACAGGAUUAGAUACCCUGGUAGUCCAUGCCGUAAACGGUGGGCGCUAGGUGUGGGGUCCUUCCACGGACUCCGUGCCGUAGCUAACGCAUUAAGCGCCCCGCCUGGGGAGUACGGCCGCAAGGCUAAAACUCAAAGGAAUUGACG